AUUGAACGCUGGCGGCAGGCCUAACACAUGCAAGUCGAACGGUAACAGGAAGCAGCUUGCUGCUUCGCUGACGAGUGGCGGACGGGUGAGUAAUGUCUGGGAAGCUGCCUGAUGGAGGGGGAUAACUACUGGAAACGGUAGCUAAUACCGCAUAAUGUCGCAAGACCAAAGAGGGGGACCUUCGGGCCUCUUGCCAUCGGAUGUGCCCAGAUGGGAUUAGCUUGUUGGUGGGGUAACGGCUCACCAAGGCGACGAUCCCUAGCUGGUCUGAGAGGAUGACCAGCCACACUGGAAGUGAGACACGGUCCAGACUCCUACGGGAGGCAGCAGUGGGGAAUAUUGCACAAUGGGCGCAAGCCUGAUGCAGCCAUGCCGCGUGUAUGAAGAAGGCCUUCGGGUUGUAAAGUACUUUCAGCGGGGAGGAAGGGAGUAAAGUUAAUACCUUUGCUCAUUGACGUUACCCGCAGAAGAAGCACCGGCUAACUCCGUG
rnacentral:rRNA from 1 species